ensembl:lncRNA
CUUAAAAUGACACCUGCUUUUGUCUUCAUCCCUCUUCUCCUUCCCCCUCCCAAUAUACUUUUGCUUCUGGAUGGCUAAUUUGAGCUCUGUGUAGCAAUUACAUUUUGAAUUCAGAAAAGAGCCAUCUUUUUAAAAUCUCAGUUUAGAGGCUGACCUCAUCUGCAUGCAUUCCAUAAAACAAGCAGAAUCCACGUAUGCUUUCUUCCUAUGAAGAUUCAGAGUAAAACACCUUCUCUAGUAGGAAGGGUCAAGGCUUCAAAUGGUGAUUAUUCACAAGGGCAUUGCCAUCUGAAAAGAUGCGGCUUAACCUGGCUCAGAGGAAACAGGUCUUUGAUUUUUAGAUCUGAAUUUUCCCAGGGAUCUGCUGGAGGGUAUGGCCUGUGGACCUGUACAUCUUGGUGGUCUGUGGCAGAGCAAAUCUCAACUUGAUCAAAUCAGCAGCAGAGCCUCAAGAAUUACGUGGGCACGUAAUGACCACUGAUUUCGUGAAACUGGUGCUAACGAGUGCUGGUUCCCAGAGCUCAGCUCAUUGCAUCAAGCAGCGAUGGCACUUGCUUUCUAAAGACACAAACAAUCCUUGGACUGGAUUCGGUAGGGAACACGUGCCAGCUCUUUUUGAAACAGCCUCCCCAGCAACAGCAGAUUUUGCCCAUCUUCCUUCCAUUUAUUUUGUUUUUGUAAAUAACGACGACGACCCCAGAGCUGUGUGGAUGUCCAGGCGGCACCUUACUGGCAUCCUCAGCAGACGGGGUGCUGUCAGUUUGUGCUCUGCGUGCCAGUGAGGUGUGCUCCCCUCCACCUGUGACUGUGGGAAGAAACAGGAACAUACCUGUAGACUGAAGAAAGAAAAG